AUGUGCCUGUGUACCUGCGUCCGUCACGCGGAAGGCGACGAGCUCCGGCGUUUCCAGGAUAUCGCCAGGGGCCGCGCCGCAGGUUUGGCCACGGGACGAUACAGCAACUACUUCGUGCAGCGCGUCCUCGACCGCGGCAGCACUCCGUUCAGGCAGGAGCUCGUGCGCGAGCUCAUGCGGGAGGUCGCCCUCCUGUCCCGCGACCCGUUCGGGAACUACGUCGUGCAGCACUGCUUCCUGAACCAGGAGACAGGUUUGCCACAGGCCGAGUUGCUGCCCAUCGUGCUCAGGGCUUUUGCUGGCCUGCCCCAACAACAGCUCCAAGGUCUGGUGCACCACGCCCCUGGCAACUUGGUCCUCUGCAGUCUGCUCGAGACAGGCAUCAAUCACUGCCCGGAGUUGACGCGGGACCUGGCGUCGAGAAUCGACCUCCUGGACAGGCAUGUCUUGGAACAUCCUCACUCGCAGAUGGUGAUGUGGUUCGUCGAGAGGAUCCUGUUGCCUCAAUUUUUUACAUUUUCCGUAGGCUAG
rnacentral:rRNA from 1 species